rnacentral:tRNA from 1 species
GUCUUCAUGGUGUAAUGGUUAGCACAUUCGGCGCGAGAUUCGAGAGGUUCAGGUUCGAGUCCCGGCGAGGGCA